ensembl:snRNA U4 U4 spliceosomal RNA
AGCUUUGCAUAGCACCAGUACUGUAGCCAAUGAGGUUUAUCCGAGGUGCGAUUAUGGCUAAUUUAAAACUUUUCCAAUACCCCGCCGUGACAACUUGCAGUAUAACCCGCAUUGGCCAUUGUUGAGUCUCUACCAUAGA